AUGGCCAUGCCCAGCAAGGUGUCAAAGUGGAAGGACACAGAGGCAGUGACUCAUGGCACAGGAAACCUCACUGAGAGUCCUGAUAGCGAAGGCACAGCUGGGAGGCGAGGGCAGGCAGCGCAGGCUGUAGUGGCCUGGUGUGGCAGAGGCUGGGCAAGGUACCGCCACCUCCCUCAGAGCCUCCGCUGUCUUUUAAGUAGGUUUAAAAGCACAUUACUCACCAGGAAGAAGAUAAUAAAGGAAAAAAAUAAAGGAAAAAAAAAAAAAAAAGCCCUGUUCCCCUCCUCAGUUAGAUCUCCUUCCUUCUUCCAGAAAAACAAACUAACUUCUUCCCACUGCAAGGAACACGUCUGCACACACCACCCACCCCUUCCCCAGACCAGGUUCCCCGGCCGCACUUUUGGCACCCACCACCCAGCCCCUGCCGUGCAGCACCCCAACCCCAAAGCGCCCUCGGGACAGCCGCUGGGGACCCCUCCCGACCCUAUUCCCCCCUGCCCUCCGCCCCCGGCCCCCUGCCCCUCUCCGGGGCGAGCUGCCCCCGGAGCAGCCCCCCGCUUGCUCGGCUGCCCCCGGCCCCGUGUCCCCGGCCCCGCUCCGGUGCCGGCUGCCCGGGGCGGGGCGGAGGGGGCGGCCCCGGCCUCCCCCCGCUCCCCGCAAGGCGGAGCCAGCGCGGCGCGGGGCCGGCGAGCGGCGGCGGGACGCGGCCAGCCCAGCCCAGCCCAGCCCAGCACAGCACAGCACGGCUCAGCACGGCACGGCACGGCUCGGCACGGCUCGGCACAGCUCGGCACGGCUCGGCACGGCGAUGCAGCGCUGAGAUGGACGCCUCUCUCCGCCAGGUGGGCGCGGGGGGCACAGCGCUGGGAUGCUGCCGCCGCAGGGAGCGGCUCGGCGGGGGCGCGGGGAGGAUGCUGCCCGCGGCAGCGGAGCCCAAGUUUCACUUUUAUUAUUAUUAUUAUUUUUUUAAUUUUAAUCAGCGCUCCGAGGUGGCGUGCGGGGCUCCCCAGCACCGCCCGGGCGCUGCGUGGGGUCCGGGAGCCCACGCGUGGGCUGGGGGUGCCGGAGCCCGAGGGAUGCGCGGCUGCAGCCGCUCGUGCUGCGGGCUCGGUGCGUGCCGCACCAUAG
rnacentral:lncRNA from 1 species